CCUACGGGUGGCAGCAGUGGGGAAUAUUGCACAAUGGGGGGAACCCUGAUGCAGCGACGCCGCGUGGGUGAGGAAGUACUUCGGUAUGUAAAGCCCUAUCAGCAGGGAAGAAAAUGACGGUACCUGACUAAGAAGCCCCGGCUAACUACGUGCCAGCAGCCGCGGUAAUACGUAGGGGGCAAGCGUUAUCCGGAUUUACUGGGUGUAAAGGGGGCGUAGCCGGCGGCCCAAGGCGGAGGUGAAAGGCCGGGGCUCAACCCCGGAACUGCAUUUGAAACUGGGAGGCUGGAGUGCAGGAGGGGCAAGCGGAAUUCCUAGUGUAGCGGUGAAAUGCGUAGAUAUUAGGAGGAACACCGGUGGCGAAGGCGGCUUGCUGGACUGUAACUGACGUUGAGGCUCGAAAGCGUGGGGAGCAAACAGGAUUAGAUACCCUAGUAGUC
rnacentral:rRNA from 1 species